rnacentral:misc_RNA from 1 species
GAUGAAGAACGUAGUGAAAUGCGAUAAGUAGUGUGAAUUGCAGAAUUCAGUGAAUCAUCGAAUCUUUGAACGCACAUUGCGCCCCUUGGUAUUCCAUGGGGCAUGCCUGUUCGAGCGUCAUUUGUACCUUCAAGCUUUGCUUGGUGUUGGGUGUUUGUCCCGAGGGACUCGCCUUAAAGUAAUUGGCAGCCAGUGUUUGGUUUUGAUGCGCAGCACAAGUCGCGAUUCAAGGCUACACGCCCGCUUCCACAAGCCUUUUUUCACUUUUGACCUCGGAUCAGGUAGGGAUACCCGCUGAACUUAAGCAUAUCAAUAAGCGGAGGA